AGUCGAGGAAAUUUCCUGCAGAGAUAAUAGAGGUUUCAGAAAUAGUCAUAGUUGAUAUGAAGGUUGCUGCUAUCAAUUCAACUUACUGCUUUUUUAGGAGGGAAGUACUUUCUGAUAAAAAGCCUUUGCUCAAAUGUUGUUCUUUCUUCUACAUAGCAAUAGUUCAAUUACAAUACUGACAAUAAGGAUGUGUCUAUUUCCCAGAUUUUAACUUGUUUGCUCUUAAAUACAUGUAGCAAUACAUUAGGCCAAACUUUGCAUAAGGUCGUUUCCUUAUAAUUUCAGGCAUGCUACUGCUUCCAAUUGAAAAUUAUUAUUUUUUAAUAGUUGUUAAAUAGUCAUCCAUUAUUUUGUAUAAACAGAUAGUAAAGAUUAUUAUCUCAAGACAAUGAGAAAAGAAGAAACUUUCUCUAUAAAUACUGGCAAAGGGUGUCGCAAAAGAAUUCACAAAGCAAAGUUUACAAUUAAAAAUGAUAGUGAAUCAGAUGAUGUGCAGGAGCACAGUAUUCCUAAAAAGCUGAAGCCAUCCAGGGCAAAGAAAACAGAGGCUUGCUGCUCAGCCAGUCUUGCUUCACUUAUAAAAGAGUGAUUAACCAAGGAGAGUCAGUCAGAUUAAGGUAGUGCACUUUGCAAUGAUAAAUGCAAGUAUAAAAAAGACGCCUUGGAACUCAAAGAGAGAGUAAAAAUGUUGGAAAAUCAGAUGAAAAGACUUAAUGAGCAAAUUGACAAUGGCAAUGAUUUAAGAACUUCAUUAAAAAAGUAAAGAAGAUAUGUGUGUACCUUGGAAGAUU